AGCCCAUCCCGUGCGGACCCUACGCCGAGUCCAGCCCGGGGCUGCUGGGCCAGCGGGAGCGGGAACCGGACGGCGCUCGCGUUCUGCCAGAGCGGAGAACGACUCGGGGACGGUGCGGAGGACCAGGGGAGGAGAUCCGCGCCCGCACGCACCAUCAGCCGAGAGGACGGCCCGCAUCGCGCCAGUGACCUAGGAGCGACUCGGGGACGGCUUCGGGCUCCCAGGCCCUCCUGGGCCACCGGGCACUGAGGAGAGCGGCGGCUGGAAACUGUGGGACCCGAAGGGCGGGAGCCCAGGGCCCGCCCCCGCCGGAGCGCCCCCGCCAUGGCCACGCCCCCGCCACGGGGAUGGGCAGGGCAAGCACCGGAAGUGCGUCACGCGGGAGCGUCUGCGUCGCCUACCCUGCGUGGCGCAGCUAGGUUCCGAGCGGCUUAGCCUCCGGGCGCCUGCGCAGUGGCGGUCCUAGAGACGCACUCGGUUGCCAUAGAGACGGGGGCUUGGGAGCGACGUCGCGCUCGCUGGCACUGGCGGCACUUGCCGCGCCGCAGCCACCUCUUUCCGACUCCACCAGUGCGGGCCCUAUCCGGGGUUUUGAGUCACGCAGACCUGGACACAGCGAGAAACGGCAGUCCGGGCCCGUCCUCCCGCCCCGGGUUCUGCACCCCAGAGUUGGACGCUUGCUUCUCGCUUUCUCCUGAGAGAAGUCUCCGCGUUUCUGAACAAUGCACUGCUAGUUUCUCAUUUCUUUCUUUCUUUCUUUUUUUUUUUUUGGAGACGGAGCCUCGCCCUGUCGCCCAGGCUGGAGUGCAAUGGCGCGAUCUCGGCUCAUUGCAACCUCCGCCUCCAGGGCUUAAACUAUUCUCUUGCUUCAGCCUCCCGAGCAGCUGGGACUACAGGCAUGCGCUACCACGCACAGCUAAUUUUUGCAUUUUUAGUCAAGACGGGGUUUCACCAUUUUGGCCAGGCUGAUUUCGAACUCCUGACCUCGUGAUCUGCCCUCCUAGGGCUCCCAACGUGCUGGGAUUAUAGGCGUGAGCCACCGCGCCCGGCCUCUCAUUUCUUAAUUGUAGACAUUGCGUACUUCCGGAGAAGGUCCCUGAGAACCUGGCUGAUCUUCCCCGCUGCACCCCUCACGUGGUCCUGUUAGCUCCCAAACUGUCAACCUGAAAGGAAACCCAGAGGCAGGCUCUCCAGGACAAACCGAUCACUUCCUGACCCGGCUGCACAGCUCUUAUCUCGAGCUUUUCUCUGCUCUCAUCCUUGAGACUCACUUUGUCUGUCUCCUUUCUUGGAUUCCCUGUGUAAACGAAAAAUAAAAUCCUAAGCUCUCUACCAACUGUUUUUUGUUUUGUUUUGUAUUUGAGACAGGGUCUUGCUCUGUUGCCCAGGCUGGAGUGCAGUGGCACUAUCUUGGUUGACUGCAGCCUCUGCUUCCUGGAUUCAAGUGAUCCUCCCACCUCAGCCUCCUGAGUAGCUAGGACCACAGACAUGCACCACCAUGCCGG
rnacentral:lncRNA from 10 species